rnacentral:rRNA from 1 species
UACGUAGGGGGCGAGCGUUGUCCGGAAUUAUUGGGCGUAAAGAGCGUGUAGGCGGUUCGGUAAGUCUGCCGUGAAAACCUGGGGCUCAACCCUGGGCGUGCGGUGGAUACUGCCGGGCUAGAGGGUGGUAGAGGCGAGUGGAAUUCCCGGUGUAGCGGUGAAAUGCGCAGAUAUCAGGAGGAACACCAAUGGCGAAGGCAGCUCGCUGGGACGUGACUGACGCUGAGACGCGAAAGCGUGGGGAGCAAACAGG